rfam:Rhodnius prolixus Rhodnius_prolixus-3.0.3-8428.1, whole genome shotgun sequence.
GUUAAUUACAAAGUUUAUUACUAUAUCAUCAUUAUGUCUUGAUGAGUAAGAGGGCCGCGGCGAUGAGCGCAGAAGGGUCUGGGCGAGAGCCCGCCUGGAGCCGUCGCUGGUGCAGAUCUUGGUGGUAGUAGCAAAUACUCCAGCGAGGCCCUGGAGGACUGAUGUGGAGAAGGGUUUCUUGUGAACAGCUGUUGCACAAGAGUCAGUCGAUCCUAAGCCCUAGGAGAAAUCCGAAGCGAUAUGCGCCCGUUAAAUAAUUUUUUUUUAUUAAAUGUUUGGCGCUAUCUGGGCGAAAGGGAAUCCGGUUCCUAUUCCGGAACCCGGCAGCGGAACCGUUCCAAAUCGGGCUCUCAUUUGAGAACUCGUCGGGGUAACCCGACAAGACCCGGAGACGCCGUAGGGAAAUUCGGAGAGAGUUGUCUCUUCUCUAUAAGCGUUCGAGUUCCCUGGAAACCUCUAGCAGGGAGAUAGGGUUUGGAACGCGAAGAGCACCGCAGUUACGGCGGUGUCCGGAUCUUCCCUACGGACCUUGAAAAUCCGGGAGAGGGCCACGAGGAACCCCGCGCCGGCUCGUACCCAUAUCCGCAGCAGGUCUCCAAGGUCAAUAGCCUCUAGUCGAUAGAAUAAUGUAGGUAAGGGAAGUCGGCAAAUCCGAUCCGUAACUUCGGGAUAAGGAUUGGCUCUGAGGACUGAGUCGUGCCGGGCUUGGUCGGGAAGUGGAGCGGUGUCAACGUGCCGGGCCUGGGCGAGGAGAAAAUUGCGUUUCUGCGCUUUUGGAUCCGAGCUCGGUCCCGUGCCUGGCCACCCGGAUCUUCCUUGCUGCGAGUCGUUAGCCGUGUGGUUACCGCUGGCUUUUGCUAGCUGGUCGACCUGGCUUACGAUCUCUUCGGCCGACAUUCAACAGUCAACUCAGAACUGGCACGGACAAGGGGAAUCCGACUGUCUAAUUAAAACAAAGCAUUGCGAUGGCCCCAACGGGUGUUGACGCAAUGUGAUUUCUGCCCAGUGCUCUGAAUGUCAAAGUGAAGAAAUUCAAGCAAGCGCGGGUAAACGGCGGGAGUAACUAUGACUCUCUUAAGGUAGCCAAAUGCCUCGUCAUCUAAUUAGUGACGCGCAUGAAUGGAUUAACGAGAUUCCCUCUGUCCCUAUCUACUAUCUAGCGAAACCACGGCCAAGGGAACGGGCUUGGAAAAAUCAGCGGGGAAAGAAGACCCUGUUGAGCUUGACUCUAGUCUGGUACUGUAAGAAAACAUGAGAGGUGUAGCAUAAGUGGGAGGUAGUUUUUUUAAACUGCCGACAAUGAAAUACCACUACUUUCAUUGUUUCCUUACUUACUCGGUGAGGCGGAGGGCGUCCGUCGGGGUGAUACCACCUCGGCGUGACGGUAUUCUCGUGCCAAACGCCAAGGGUUGUCGACGUUCGAUCGUACGCCUUGUCGCGUUAAGAUGUGGAUAUUC